rnacentral:rRNA from 1 species
CCCUGCUUAUGUGGGGUGCUCGAGUGGCGAACGGGUGAGUAACACGUGAGUAACCUGCCCUUGACUUUGGGAUAACUUCAGGAAACUGGGGCUAAUACCGGAUAGGAGCUCCUGCUGCAUGGUGGGGGUUGGAAAGUUUCGGCGGUUGGGGAUGGACUCGCGGCUUAUCAGCUUGUUGGUGGGGUAGUGGCUUACCAAGGCUUUGACGGGUAGCCGGCCUGAGAGGGUGACCGGCCACAUUGGGACUGAGAUACGGCCCAGACUCCUACGGGAGGCAGCAGUGGGGAAUAUUGCACAAUGGGCGGAAGCCUGAUGCAGCAACGCCGCGUGCGGGAUGACGGCCUUCGGGUUGUAAACCGCUUUCGCCUGUGACGAAGCGUGAGUGACGGUAAUGGGUAAAGAAGCACCGGCUAACUACGUGCCAGCAGCCGCGGUGAUACGUAGGGUGCGAGCGUUGUCCGGAUUUAUUGGGCGUAAAGGGCUCGUAGGUGGUUGAUCGCGUCGGAAGUGUAAUCUUGGGGCUUAACCCUGAGCGUGCUUUCGAUACGGGUUGACUUGAGGAAGGUAGGGGAGAAUGGAAUUCCUGGUGGAGCGGUGGAAUGCGCAGAUAUCAGGAGGAACACCAGUGGCGAAGGCGGUUCUCUGGGCCUUUCCUGACGCUGAGGAGCGAAAGCGUGGGGAGCGAACAGGCUUAGAUACCCUGGUAGUCCACGCUGUAAACGGUGGGUACUAGGUGUGGGGUCCAUUCCACGGGUUCCGUGCCGUAGCUAACGCUUUAAGUACCCCGCCUGGGGAGUACGGCCGCAAGGCUAAAACUCAAAGGAAUUGACGGGGCCCCGCACAAGCGGCGGAGCAUGCGGAUUAAUUCGAUGCAACGCGUAGAACCUUACCUGGGUUUGACAUGGAUCGGGAGUGCUCAGAGAUGGGUGUGCCUCUUUUGGGGUCGGUUCACAGGUGGUGCAUGGCUGUCGUCAGCUCGUGUCGUGAGAUGUUGGGUUAAGUCCCGCAACGAGCGCAACCCUUGUUCACUGUUGCCAGCACGUUAUGGUGGGGACUCAGUGGAGACCGCCGGGGUCAACUCGGAGGAAGGUGGGGAUGACGUCAAGUCAUCAUGCCCCUUAUGUCCAGGGCUUCACGCAUGCUACAAUGGCUGGUACAGAGAGUGGCGAGCCUGUGAGGGUGAGCGAAUCUCGGAAAGCCGGUCUCAGUUCGGAUUGGGGUCUGCAACUCGACCUCAUGAAGUCGGAGUCGCUAGUAAUCGCAGAUCAGCAACGCUGCGGUGAAUACGUUCCCGGGGCUUGUACACACCGCCCGUCAAGUCAUGAAAGUUGGUAACACCCGAAGCCGGUGGCCUAACCGUUGUGGGGGAGCCGUCGAAGGUGGGACUGGA